AGGUAGGCAGUGGUUGCCGACCUCUCAUUGUUCAAAACGUAUGUGUUCAUAUGAUUUUGGCAAUUAUAUGAGUAAAUU
rnacentral:misc_RNA from 1 species